CUUGCCCUGAAAAGUAUUGAAAGUGUAGCUACUCUAUCACAUGAGUACCCAAUGUCAUGGAAAAGAGAGGCUAUGUCUACCCUCAGUGUUCUAACCUAUGACCAUUGGAAUGACUACUAGCCUAACAUU
ensembl:snoRNA LOC120095764 small nucleolar RNA SNORA17